AACGCUAGCUACAGGCUUAACACAUGCAAGUCGAGGGGAAACGACAUCGAAAGCUUGCUUUUGAUGGGCGUCGACCGGCGCACGGGUGAGUAACGCGUAUCCAACCUGCCCACCACUUGGGGAUAACCUUGCGAAAGUAAGACUAAUACCCAAUGAUAUCUCUAGAAGACAUCUGAAAGAGAUUAAAGAUUUAUCGGUGAUGGAUGGGGAUGCGUCUGAUUAGCUUGUUGGGGGGUAACGGCCCACCAAGGCGACGAUCAGUAGGGGUUCUGAGAGGAAGGUCCCCCACAUUGGAACUGAGACACGGUCCAAACUCCUACGGGAGGCAGCAGUGAGGAAUAUUGGUCAAUGGGCGAGAGCCUGAACCAGCCAAGUAGCGUGCAGGAUGACGGCCCUAUGGGUUGUAAACUGCUUUUAUAAGGGAAUAAAGUGAGCCUCGUGAGGCUUUUUGCAUGUACCUUAUGAAUAAGGACCGGCUAAUUCCGUGCCAGCAGCCGCGGUAAUACGGAAGGUCCGGGCGUUAUCCGGAUUUAUUGGGUUUAAAGGGAGCGUAGGCCGGAGAUUAAGCGUGUUGUGAAAUGUAGACGCUCAACGUCUGCACUGCAGCGCGAACUGGUUUCCUUGAGUACGCACAAAGUGGGCGGAAUUCGUGGUGUAGCGGUGAAAUGCUUAGAUAUCACGAAGAACUCCGAUUG
rnacentral:rRNA from 1 species